rnacentral:tRNA from 1 species
AUUUAGUCAAAAUAUGGAUUUUGAAAGUCCUUUAAGGUAUAAAACUUACCACUAAAUU